rnacentral:lncRNA from 1 species
UUAUAUACGUCAGACUCAUGCCAGAAUGAAUAAAAAGGCGUGAGCGUUCCAUGUUCAAGAUUUACAUGGUCAAGCGUAGGUACGCGAAGUGAAGGGAAGAAUAUAAUUAGCUGAGGAAGAGAAGACGCGAAAUGAAGUGAAGAAUACAUUGAUCUCGACUUUUCCGAGUUAUUCGGUUAAUUAGCGCUUCGAAUGGUCACGAAAUUAGAUGGAAGGUAUCAUUGUGUGGGAGAAGUUGGGAAUUUGGCUCUCAUGGAUAAGUUCUCUCGGAGUCCAUCCGUUGACUGAGAGGAGGAGGACGGAGGGGAUCAUAUCUAAUUAUAAUUAAUUUCAGGAAUACUUUGCACGGGAGUCGUAGGGUACAAAUUUGUACUAUAUUCUUCACUUCGCGUCCCUACGCUUGACGUACCAAAUUUAUUUCCUUAUUAUUAAAAGGUUGCGAGAGUUGAAUUUCAACUAUCCUCUUUUGGUGUCUCCAAUUUUGGGGAUAGAAAGAGAAAGUAUUAUGUGUGGGCCAACUUAUACAAGAUACUUCCUUAUAUUGAUUACUCUACUUAUGUACCAUAGACCAUAGUUCAUAAUCAUAAUAAAUCAUUCAUUAUUCAUUGCUUAUGCUAAAUAAGAGAGAGAAAAAAAAUCACACAUGCAUCGCACCUAAUGAAAGAGUUAUCUUGUCUAUUUUAAAA